UUGAACGCUGGCGGCAUGCCUUACACAUGCAAGUCGAACGGCAGCAUGAUCUAGCUUGCUAGAUUGAUGGCGAGUGGCGACCGGGUGAGUAAUACAUCGGAACGUGCCCUGUAGUGGGGGAUAACUAGUCGAAAGAUUAGCUAAUACCGCAUACGACCUGAGGGUGAAAGUGGGGGACCGCAAGGCCUCAUGCUAUAGGAGCGGCCGAUGUCUGAUUAGCUAGUUGGUGAGGUAAAGGCUCACCAAGGCGACGAUCAGUAGCUGGUCUGAGAGGACGAUCAGCCACACUGGGACUGAGACACGGCCCAGACUCCUACGGGAGGCAGCAGUGGGGAAUUUUGGACAAUGGGCGAAAGCCUGAUCCAGCAAUGCCGCGUGUGUGAAGAAGGCCUUCGGGUUGUAAAGCACUUUUGUCCGGAAAGAAAUGGCUCUGGUUAAUACCUGGGGUCGAUGACGGUACCGGAAGAAUAAGGACCGGCUAACUACGUG
rnacentral:rRNA from 1 species